ensembl:snoRNA
GUCUUGUCAAUGAUGUUUUCAAACAAAUGUCUGAACAUAUGACUGGCUGUGAUUCCUUUAUAUUUGCUGAGACAAGAC